GGGGAAUUUUGGACAAUGGGCGAAAGCCUGAUCCAGCAAUGCCGCGUGCAGGAUGAAGGCCUUCGGGUUGUAAACUGCUUUUGUACGGAACGAAAAGCUUCGGGUUAAUACCCUGGAGUCAUGACGGUACCGUAAGAAUAAGCACCGGCUAACUACGUGCCAGCAGCCGCGGUAAUACGUAGGGUGCAAGCGUUAAUCGGAAUUACUGGGCGUAAAGCGUGCGCAGGCGGUCUUGUAAGACAGAGGUGAAAUCCCCGGGCUCAACCUGGGAACUGCCUUUGUGACUGCAAGGCUGGAGUGCGGCAGAGGGGGAUGGAAUUCCGCGUGUAGCAGUGAAAUGCGUAGAUAUGCGGAGGAACACCGAUGGCGAAGGCAAUCCCCUGGGCCUGCACUGACGCUCAUGCACGAAAGCGUGGGGAGCAAACA
rnacentral:rRNA from 1 species